rnacentral:rRNA from 1 species
AGGACGAACACUGGCGGCGUGCUUAACACAUGCAAGUCGAGCGGAAAGGCCCUUCGGGGUACUCGAGCGGCGAACGGGUGAGUAACACGUGGGCAACCUGCCCCUAGCUCUGGGAUAACUCCGGGAAACCGGGGCUAAUACCGGAUACGAUCUUCCACGGCAUCUCGGAAGAUGGAAAGUUUUUUCGGCUAGGGAUGGGCCCGCGGCCUAUCAGCUUGUUGGUGAGGUAACGGCCCACCAAGGCGACGACGGGUAGCCGGCCUGGAGAGGGCGACCGGCCACGACUGGGACUGAGACACGGCCCAGACUCCUACGGAGGCAGCAGUGGGGAAUAUUGCGCAAUGGGCGAAAGCCUGACGCAGCGACGCCGCGUGAGGAGUGAAGGCUCGGUUGGUAACUACUUCUAGCAGGACGAGACGAGAGUGAGUACGUGCGAGAAGAAGACGACCGGACCGAACGUAACCGUACGCCACGACGACGACCGCCGGU